rfam:Schistosoma mansoni strain Puerto Rico chromosome W, complete genome
AUCCAGCUGACAAGUCCCGAAUAGGAUGUAACGCGCGUCCUGGAU